ACUUAAGUAGUUUAAUUAAAACCUUGACUUGUGGCGUCAACAAUAUAAGUGAGAUCUUAUUUUAGGUU
rnacentral:tRNA from 1 species